rnacentral:lncRNA from 1 species
GGAAGGCAACUGGAGCUAAAUCAUCCCGGUUCAACACUCGAAAUAAGGCUCUUAAGUGAAUUUCAACUGCUGAGAUCCCUAGAGACUAGACCUUCCCAAGGGACAGAGGCUGCUUCAGUGAAACUGCACUAGUUCAGCCCUUGCCUCCUUCCUUUGGAAUAGAUGCUGCUCUCUGGAAACUGGUGAGAAAAGCCUUUGGCUUGACUUCUUUUAGACCAAACUGCCUCCUUAGAACUGGCUGGUAUUGGAGUUCCC